rnacentral:rRNA from 1 species
UACGAAGGGGGCUAGCGUUGUUCGGAAUUACUGGGCGUAAAGCGCGCGUAGGCGGCUUUGUAAGUUAGAGGUGAAAGCCCGGGGCUCAACCCCGGAAUUGCCUUUAAGACUGCAUCGCUUGAAUCCGGGAGAGGUGAGUGGAAUUCCGAGUGUAGAGGUGAAAUCCGUAGAUAUUCGGAAGAACACCAGUGGCGAAGGCGACUUACUGGACACAUAUUGACGCUGAGGUGCGAAAGCGUGGGGAGCAAACAGG